UUCGGCCACAUCACGUUGGAACACCGGUUCCCGUCCGAUCAACGAACUUAAGCAACGUCAAGCCUGGUCAGUAUAUAGAUGGGUGACGGCUUGGGAAUACCAUGUGCU